AAGCGUGCGCAGGCGGUUAUGUAAGACAGAUGUGAAAUCCCCGGGCCUCAACCUGGGAACUGCAUUUGUGACUGCAUGGCUAGAGUACGGUAGAGGGGGAUGGAAUUCCGCGUGUAGCAGUGAAAUGCGUAGAUAUGCGGAGGAACACCGAUGGCGAAGGCAAUCCCCUGGACCUGUACUGACGCUCAUGCACGAAAGCGUGGGGAGCAAACAGGAUUAGAUACCCGAGU
rnacentral:rRNA from 1 species